rnacentral:rRNA from 1 species
GACGAACGCUGGCGGCGUGCUUAACACAUGCAAGUCGAACGGUGAAGGUGGAGUUUGCUCCGCCGGAUCAGUGGCGAACGGGUGAGUAACACGUGGGCAACCUGCCCCUGACUUCGGGAUAACUCCUCGAAAGAGGUGCUAAUACCGGAUACGAGUCCUGCAGGCAUCUGCGGGAUUGGAAAGUUUUUCGGUCAGGGAUGGGCCCGCGGCCUAUCAGCUUGUUGGUGAGGUAGUGGCUCACCAAGGCGACGACGGGUAGCCGGCCUGAGAGGGCGACCGGCCACACUGGGACUGAGACACGGCCCAGACUCCUACGGGAGGCAGCAGUGGGGAAUAUUGCGCAAUGGGCGAAAGCCUGACGCAGCAACGCCGCGUGAGGGAUGACGGCCUUCGGGUUGUAAACCUCUUUCAGCAGGGAAGAAGCGAAAGUGACGGUACCUGCAGAAGAAGCACCGGCUAACUACGUGCCAGCCGCCGCGGUAA